rnacentral:rRNA from 1 species
UCCUACGGGAGGCAGCAGUGAGGAAUAUUGGUCAAUGGCCGAGAGGCUGAACCAGCCAAGUCGCGUGAGGGAUGACGGCCCUACGGGUUGUAAACCUCUUUUGUCGGGGAGCAAGACCCGCCUCGUGCAGGCGGAGCGAGAGUACCCGAAGAAAAAGCAUCGGCUAACUCCGUGCCAGCAGCCGCGGUAAUACGGAGGAUGCGAGCGUUAUCCGGAUUUAUUGGGUUUAAAGGGUGCGCGGGCGGACCAUCAAGUCAGCGGUAAAAUCGUGGGGCCCAACCCCCUCCCGCCGUUGAAACUGGCGG